UUGUUUGGGAAUGCAGCUCAAAAUGGGUGGUAUAUUUCAUCUAAAGCUAAAUACCGGCCAGAGACCGAUAGCGCACAAGUAGAGUGAUCGAAAGAUGAAAAGCACUUUGGAAAGAGAGUCAAACAGUACGUGAAAUUGUUGAAAGGGAAGCGCUCGCAACCAGACCUGCCCGCGGCCGAUCAACCGUCCUUCUGGGCGGUGCACUCGGUCGCGAUCAGGCCAGCAUCGGUUCGGGCGGCCGGAUAAAGGCCCGGGGAACGUGGCUCCCUCCGGGGAGUGUUAUAGCCCUGGGUGCAAUGCGGCCCGCCUGGACCGAGGACCGCGCUUCGGCUAGGAUGCUGGCGUAAUGGUUGUGAGCGGCCCGUCUUGAAACACGGACCAAGGAGUCUAACAUCUAUGCGAGUGUUUGGGUGUCAAACCCAUGCGCGGAAUGAAAGUGAACGGAGGUGGGAACCCAUUUGGGCGCACCAUCGACCGAUCCAGAUGUCUUCGGAUGGAUUUGAGUACGAGCAUA
rnacentral:rRNA from 1 species